GACUCAACGCGGGAAAUCUUACCGGGUCCGGACACACUGAGGAUUGACAGGCAAUAUUAUAAAAAACACUUAUUUCACUCUCGGGUGUUAUAAUUUUUUUAUAUGUUAAAUAUGCUAGUCCUUUCAUGAUUAUGUGAUAGGUGGUGCAUGGCCGUUCUUAGUUCGUGGAGUGAUCUGUCUGCUUAAUUGCGUUUCACUAUUGGGCUUAUAUAAUUACGUAUGCACGCUUUGCGCUUUGACCCCUUUUCUACGGAAUUGCGCGUGUCUUUGUCUCGUUUAGCUCAUACAAUUAAGCCCUGAAAGCAACGAACGUGACCGCAACCUCUUGUUGCUCUCAAUUUUGACUUCGUUUUACCAGACAGUCAUGCUUAUUAUUUGUUCGCACACUCGUGUGCUUCACAUUUUUUAAGUCAAGA
rnacentral:rRNA from 1 species